rnacentral:rRNA from 1 species
UUAAGCGACUAAGCGUACACGGUGGAUGCCCUGGCAGUCAGAGGCGAUGAAGGACGUGCUAAUCUGCGAAAAGCGUCGGUAAGGUGAUAUGAACCGUUAUAACCGGCGAUGUCCGAAUGGGGAAACCCAGUGCAAUUCGUUGCACUAUCGUUAACUGAAUACAUAGGUUAACGAGGCGAACCGGGGAACUGAAACAUCUAAGUACCCCGAGGAAAAGAAAUCAACCGAGAUUCCCCAGUAGCGGCGAGCGAACGGGGAGCAGCCCAGAGUCUGAAUCAGCUUGUGUGUUAGUGGAACGGUCUGGAAAGUCCGACGGUACAGGGUGAUAGUCCCGUACACCAAAAUGCACAGGCUGUGAACUCGAAGAGUAGGGCGGGACACGUGGUAUCCUGUCUGAAUAUGGGGGGACCAUCCUCCAAGGCUAAAUACUCCUGACUGACCGAUAGUGAACCAGUACCGUGAGGGAAAGGCGAAAAGAACCCCGGCGAGGGGAGUGAAAAAGAACCUGAAACCGUGUACGUACAAGCAGUGGGAGCACCUUCGGGUGUGACUGCGUACCUUUUGUAUAAUGGGUCAGCGACUUAUAUUCUGUAGCAAGGUUAACCGUAUAGGGGAGCCGCAGGGAAACCGAGUCUUAACUGGGCGUUAAGUUGCAGGGUAUAGACCCGAAACCCGGUGAUCUAGCCAUGGGCAGGUUGAAGGUUGGGUAACACUAACUGGAGGACCGAACCGACUAAUGUUGAAAAAUUAGCGGAUGACUUGUGGCUGGGGGUGAAAGGCCAAUCAAACCGGGAGAUAGCUGGUUCUCCCCGAAAGCUAUUUAGGUAGCGCCUCGUGAACUCAUCUUCGGGGGUAGAGCACUGUUUCGGCUAGGGGGUCAUCCCGACUUACCAACCCGAUGCAAACUACGAAUACCGAAGAAUGUUAUCACGGGAGACACACGGCGGGUGCUAACGUCCGUCGUGAAGAGGGAAACAACCCAGACCGCCAGCUAAGGUCCCAAAGUCAUGGUUAAGUGGGAAACGAUGUGGGAAGGCACAGACAGCCAGGAUGUUGGCUUAGAAGCAGCCAUCAUUUAAAGAAAGCGUAAUAGCUCACUGGUCGAGUCGGCCUGCGCGGAAGAUGUAACGGGGCUAAACCAUGCACCGAAGCUGCGGCAGCGACACUAUGUGUUGUUGGGUAGGGGAGCGUUCUGUAAGCCUGCGAAGGUGUGCUGUGAGGCAUGCUGGAGGUAUCAGAAGUGCGAAUGCUGACAUAAGUAACGAUAAAGCGGGUGAAAAGCCCGCUCGCCGGAAGACCAAGGGUUCCUGUCCAACGUUAAUCGGGGCAGGGUGAGUCGACCCCUAAGGCGAGGCCGAAAGGCGUAGUCGAUGGGAAACAGGUUAAUAUUCCUGUACUUGGUGUUACUGCGAAGGGGGACGGAGAAGGCUAUGUUAGCCGGGCGACGGUUGUCCCGGUUUAAGCAUGUAGGCUGGUUAUCCAGGCAAAUCCGGAUAAUCAAGGCUGAGGUGUGAUGACGAGGCACUACGGUGCUGAAGUAACAAAUGCCCUGCUUCCAGGAAAAGCCUCUAAGCAUCAGGUAACAUCAAAUCGUACCCCAAACCGACACAGGUGGUCAGGUAGAGAAUACCAAGGCGCUUGAGAGAACUCGGGUGAAGGAACUAGGCAAAAUGGUGCCGUAACUUCGGGAGAAGGCACGCUGGUGUGUAGGUGAAGCCCCUGCGGGUGGAGCUGAGACCAGUCGAAGAUACCAGCUGGCUGCAACUGUUUAUUAAAAACACAGCACUGUGCAAACACGAAAGUGGACGUAUACGGUGUGACGCCUGCCCGGUGCCGGAAGGUUAAUUGAUGGGGUUAUCCGUAAGGAGAAGCUCUUGAUCGAAGCCCCGGUAAACGGCGGCCGUAACUAUAACGGUCCUAAGGUAGCGAAAUUCCUUGUCGGGUAAGUUCCGACCUGCACGAAUGGCGUAAUGAUGGCCAGGCUGUCUCCACCCGAGACUCAGUGAAAUUGAACUCGCUGUGAAGAUGCAGUGUACCCGCGGCAAGACGGAAAGACCCCGUGAACCUUUACUAUAGCUUGACACUGAACAUUGAGCCUUGAUGUGUAGGAUAGGUGGGAGGCUUUGAAGCGUGGACGCCAGUCUGCGUGGAGCCAACCUUGAAAUACCACCCUUUAAUGUUUGAUGUUCUAACGUUGGCCCCUUACCGGGGUUGCGGACAGUGUCUGGUGGGUAGUUUGACUGGGGCGGUCUCCUCCCAAAGCGUAACGGAGGAGCACGAAGGUUAGCUAAUCCUGGUCGGACAUCAGGAGGUUAGUGCAAUGGCAUAAGCUAGCUUGACUGCGAGCGUGACGGCGCGAGCAGGUGCGAAAGCAGGUCAUAGUGAUCCGGUGGUUCUGAAUGGAAGGGCCAUCGCUCAACGGAUAAAAGGUACUCCGGGGAUAACAGGCUGAUACCGCCCAAGAGUUCAUAUCGACGGCGGUGUUUGGCACCUCGAUGUCGGCUCAUCACAUCCUGGGGCUGAAGUAGGUCCCAAGGGUAUGGCUGUUCGCCAUUUAAAGUGGUACGCGAGCUGGGUUUAGAACGUCGUGAGACAGUUCGGUCCCUAUCUGCCGUGGGCGCUGGAGAAUUGAGGGGGGCUGCUCCUAGUACGAGAGGACCGGAGUGGACGCAUCACUGGUGUUCGGGUUGUCAUGCCAAUGGCACUGCCCGGUAGCUAAAUGCGGAAGAGAUAAGUGCUGAAAGCAUCUAAGCACGAAACUUGCCCCGAGAUGAGUUCUCCCUGAGACUUUAAGUCUCCUGAAGGAACGUUGAAGACGACGACGUUGAUAGGCCGGGUGUGUAAGCGCAGCGAUGCGUUGAGCUAACCGGUACUAAUGAACCGUGAGGCUUAACCU